GGAAUAUUGCACAAUGGGGGAAACCCUGAUGCAGCGACGCCGCGUGAGUGAAGAAGUAUUUCGGUACGUAAAGCUCUAUCAGCAGGGAAGAAAAAAAGUCCUUUGGACUUUGGACGGUACCUGACCAAGAAGCCCCGGCUAACUACGUGCCAGCAGCCGCGGUAAUACGUAGGGGGCAAGCGUUAUCCGGAUUUACUGGGUGUAAAGGGAGCGUAGACGGCUAAUCAAGUCAGAAGUGAAAACCCAGGGCUCAACCUUGGGACUGCUUUUGAAACUGAGUAGCUAGAGUGCAGGAGAGGUAAGCGGAAUUCCUAGUGUAGCGGUGAAAUGCGUAGAUAUUAGGAGGAACACCAGUGGCGAAGGCGGCUUACUGGACUGUAACUGACGUUGAGGCUCGAAAGCGUGGGGAGCAA
rnacentral:rRNA from 1 species